rnacentral:rRNA from 1 species
ACACGUGGACAACCUAACCUAUGGAGGGGGAUAACCCCGGGAAACUGGGGAUAAUACCCCAUAGACUAUAAAUGCUGGAAUGCUUUGUAGUUGAAAGGUCCGCCGCCAUAGGAUGGGUCUGCGGCCGAUUAGGUUGUUGUUGGGGUAACGGCCCAACAAGCCUGUAAUCGGUACGGGUUGUGGGAGCAAGAGCCCGGAGAUGGAUUCUGAGACACGAAUCCAGGCCCUACGGGGCGCAGCAGGCGCGAAAACUUUACAAUGCGGGAAACCGUGAUAAGGGAACUCCGAGUGCCCGUAAAAUCGGGCUGUCCAUCUGUGUAAAAAACAGGUGAAGAAAGGGCCGGGCAAGACCGGUGCCAGCCGCCGCGGUAAUACCGGCGGCUCGAGUGGUGGCCACUAUUACUGGGCUUAAAGCGUUCGUAGCUGGUCUGUUAAGUCUCUGGGGAAAUCUACUGGCUUAACCAAUAGGCGUCUCAGGGAUACUGGCAGACUAGGGACCGGGAGAGGUGAGAGGUACUCCAGGGGUAGGAGUGAAAUCCUGUAAUCCUUGGGGGACCACCUGUGGCGAAGG